AAUGCAAAUGGGAAACACAAGGGCAUGAAGAGAGCAGGCAAGGGCGUGGGGCCUGGUGCUGGAGGAGAGCUGGCCUCCUCUGGGGACCGGCGUCAUUUGGAUUCAGAGAAAGUAAUUUUCAUAGAGCAAUGAAGAGCAAAGCGCUCCGUCUGCAUGCCCAACCAUGAGCGCACUCCGAGCCGAGAUUCCCCCCGCACGCAAAAAAAAAAGUACAAAGUGAUGCAUUUUGAACUCGAGAGAGGUCCACCGACGGAGGCCGCUCUGAAUACAAAUGCCUGGAUUUCUCUGUGGUAUGCAAAACGAAUGGAACUUCUUCAGAAUCUCUUCUCCGGGGUAGGUUUCACGGUACGCUGAAGAUUGGAUGCCACGUGUGCCGCAACAAAGGGCCAACGCCCUGAAGGGGAAAAUCAGCAGCUACGCCAUUUUCUAGGUGAAAGCUUUGCGUGCUCUUGGAAGGUCAAAGCACACCAGGAGCGGCAUGCUGCUGGAGCUCAGGGGGCUCCAUUGUCUUUACUGCAGUGCUGCAGUCAACCUCACCAAGGUUAUAUCCAGAAGAAAGGGAAUGGAUCACCCCAAACCAUCAUACCAGCCAGUGCUGCAGGACCAGCCGGUGAGAUCCGGAAGCACUUUGCACUCCUCUCCAUCCAGGCAGGGAUGCAUCUGACACCACCAUUUCUGCAGCACGAUGGAGGCUGGACAACAACACAAGAGAAGGAAAGUGCUGAGUAUUAACCGCAGCUAGCACUGAUCCAACCUCUCCCACAACCCAGCACACUGAUCCAAC